AUUGCUUUUUCAACCACUGUGCGUAACAGCUAUUAUGUCAUACGCACCGCUACUUAGUGGCGGAUUUUGUUUUUAUAGCAAACGUUCUUACCAGGAGGGCUACUUCUGGGACUGCAUUAAGUCCCUGGAGCUGUUUGAAGUUCUUUGAAUUUCGUGAAUAGUCAACAAAUAAACGGACUGCUGGGUCAGUGAGUGUUAUUUAUGUGCCAGCGCCUGAUGCUUAUCUCAACUGUAGCAGCGAGUCGGGCUUAUCGCCAGCUCAUGAUGUUUUUUGGCCAAACAAAAACAAACAACUGGCAGCAAACCUUUUGAUAAGGCAACAACGGCAAUAACAACUGUUGACGUGCAGCUGUGAUUUAUUUUGCUUUAAAAGCACAUUUUAAAGUGCCCAGACGUUAAAAGAACUAACCCACACACACACACUCAUAAGCACGCCGCAAAUUCUGCUGACUUUUAUGUGAGCUCAUAAAAUUUUUUUUGGAAAAUUCUGGGUUCAUAUUUGCGCUGGCAUAUAUGUAUAUAUAUUUUUUUAUACUAAUUAAAAAUUGUAUAUUUAUCAAA